rnacentral:lncRNA from 1 species
GAGAACGAGAUACGCGGCUCCUAUCGGGAUCGUCGACACGCCGGGCGGCCUUGCUGGAUUAGUUUUACCUUUGACGAGAUAUCUUGUGCAUCAGGAUUUCGGUGAUGCCUUGGGUAAUCUCAGAGUUGAGGUUUUCCACUAGGAAAUCCGACGAGAUCACGAGCUUCGUGAUUGAGGAUUUCUAUGCGGCUUCUGGUAAUUUGUGAUGGAGUAGUUGGAGCACCCCUGCAGGGUUAAAUCUUUUUGGAAAGCCGUGCCCGCGGUUAUGUGGCAACGUGGAAACUUUGUUUAACAC